UCUGCAUCCGAUACGGGCAGGCUAGAGUGUGGUAGGGGAGAUCGGAAUUCCUGGUGUAGCGGUGAAAUGCGCAGAUAUCAGGAGGAACACCGGUGGCGAAGGCGGAUCUCUGGGCCAUUACUGACGCUGAGGAGCGAAAGCGUGGGGAGCGAACAGGAUUAGAUACCCUGGUAGUCCACGCCGUAAACGUUGGGAACUAGGUGUGGCGACAUUCCACGUCGUCGGUGCCGCAGCUAACGCAUUAAGUUCCCCGCCUGGGGAGUACGGCCGCAAGGCUAAAACUCAAAGGAAUUGACGGGGGCCCGCACAAGCAGCGGAGCAUGUGGCUUAAUUCGACGCAACGCGAAGAACCUUACCAAGGCUUGACAUAUACCGGAAACAUCCAGAGAUGGGUGCCCCCUUGUGGUCGGUAUACAGGUGGUGCAUGGCUGUCGUCAGCUCGUGUC
rnacentral:rRNA from 1 species